GAUCGUAAAUGAGAAGAUUGGUUCCGUAGAAAGACGAAAGUGGAUUCGCAUUCAUAUACAUAAGAAUUAUAUAAGAAGAAGAAGAAUCUUUGAUUUUUUUUUGAAAAGGAGUAACCGGGCUUCUUUGAAGUAAUAAGACUAUUCAAAUUACAAUAUUCGUGGAGAAAGAAUCGUAAUAAAUGUAAAGAAGAGGCAUCUUUUACCCAAUAGCGAAGAGUUUGAACCAAGAUUUCCAGAUGAACGGGGUAGGGUAUUAGUAUAUCUAAUACAUAAUUUAGAUGUGAAAAAUUGUCCUCUAAAAAAGGAAAUGUUGAAUGAAUUGAUCGUAAAUUAUGAGAUUUGAAAAUCUUUUUGCCUUCGAAAGAAGAUAAAGAAGAUAUUAAUCGUAUAGAAAACGGAAUUUCUACAAUACAUGCAAAUCCCUCUGAUAUCAUUUGAGAAUACAAACUCUUGUUGCACCCCAAAAACGGAUUUUUGUUAGAAUCAUUAGUAGAAAUAAUCAAAUGAUUCUGUUGAUCCAUUCGAGUAAUUAACCGUUUCACAAUUAGGAAACUAAAUUUAUUGUUAUAACCUGAAUUUUCCAACAAAAUCGACCUAUUUCUAUUUAAACCAUGAUCCUGAGCAAGUGCAUAAAUAUACUCCUGAAAGAUAAGUGGAUAUAGGAAGUUGUGUUGUUGCGAGCUAUCCGGCUGUAAAUAUCUGUGGAUUUCUUCCAUUUGAAAUUCGAUUUGAACCAAAGAUGGAAGAUUUUGAGGGUUAUCAAAUGAUACAUAGUGCGAUACAGUUAAAACAAAGUAUUGUAGUAAGAAUAGAUACCUUGAAUACAGGUAAACUUCUCAACGGAUUCUCUAUCAUCUCUUUUUUUUUUCGUUUCAUUUAAUUGGUCUAUGUUAUAGUGUUAUAGGAUAAUAAGAUGUUUAGAAAUCCUUUAUUUUUUCAACCUAAUCGCUCUUUUGACUUCGGAAAAAACUUUCUUUAUCAAUAUACUGUUUCUUCUACACACAUCUCCAUAAUCGAAAAUGGUAAUAGUUAGGAUUCAUUAAAAAAAUUGAGAACACACUCAUGGGACAAGAAACCCUUCCCGCACCAGGCACUAAUAAAUUUUUAACGUCUAAUUAGAUCGGGAAUCAUUCAAAUUAAGAACAAAAGCUCGUUGCUUUUUCUUUCCCUAUAAUUUAAUUGAAGCCGCAGCCUUAUCCAUUUAUUCAUUCGACCCAACUUUAUUUUGUUCCGUUCCAAGAAUUCUAACACAGUUUUAUACCCAUCUAGGAACAAUGAAAUAUUUUCAGAACUUUCCGUUGAUACGACAUGCUAUUUUUACCAUUCAUUCCCUUUCAGGAUCAGUCGCGGUCUUCCAAACUUUACCGAGAGUAUGGACGAAUCCCUCACCUCAUCCAUAUGUGUAAAAGACACUAGCCGCACUUAAAAGCCGAGUACUCUACCGUUGAGUUAGCAACCCGAAGAAAAUAUCGAAAAAAUUAUGUAGAUCCAAUCCGAAGAAAAAGAAAUAACUAGAUUAGACAAGACAACCAAAAACCAUUGAAAGAAGAAAUCGAAAAAAAUACAUUCACACUUUCGAAUUCAUUUAAAACAUAAAAUAAAACUAAAUAGAUCCACUUCAUUUAUCACAAUGAAUUAUAUUUGUUCGAUACACUGUUGUCAAUAUAAAUAUUGAAUAUUGAAAAAAAAAAAGUGGAAAACAAAACUACAAUUUACUUAAAUUUACUUAGAUUUAUUGAAUUCAUAAUGGAUUCAAUCAAGUUAACUGAGAUAAGCAAACUUGAUUUCAUUCCGAAAUGCCCGAAUUAACUAUUUAGAAGAUCAAUAAAAUAAGAGGUUUUGUCGUUAUAGAACACGGAAUUCACUGGAAGCAAUGAUAAAUAAAUACAAAUAGAAAAGGAAAGGGAGGAAAUACAAAAAAAUAGAAGAGAAAAGUCAUACAAAGUUAUAUACAAAUCACUACCCCCUUUUUUGUAUUUCCUUAAUUUAUUUCCUUAAUUGAAUUUCGGUUGAUUAAGACGAAGUUCCUUAAAAACCUCUGCCUUCUUUAAAAUAUCCUGAACAGUUUCUGUAGGUUGAGCCCCUUUUUCAAGGAAAUAUAAAAUAGCAGGAACAUUUAAAUAAGUUUGAUUCUUUAUCGGAUCAUAAAAACCCACUUUCUGAAGAUCUUUUCCUUCUCUUCGGGAUCGAACAUCAAUUGCAACGAUUCGAUAGACGGCUCAUUGGGAUAGAUGUAGAUGAACAACACCCCCCCUAGAAACGUAUAGGAAGCUUUCUCCUCGUACGGCUCGAGAAAAAUGAUUGAUUCGAAGUUUUGUCUUUGUAUGGAAUUCUAUCUAAGAAAUGACAACUGGAUCCAUAAAAUGAUCAAAGCAAUUAAAGAUCUAAGUCUUUUUUUCUUCGUUCUUCCUUAAAAUGAAAAAUAAACCAUUCGUACUCUCAUAACUCAAGUUGGAUAACUUUCAAACAGUUCAAAGGAAAAUCUUUCGGCAAUUUCAUUUAUUGAGCGGUCUUUCCUCCUUUUUUGUUUGUCUCGUUUAAAAUCGGAUUCUUCAGUCUGAUCCAGUUAUUAAGACAAUUAAAAAGGUGUUUCCUUGUUCUGGGAUCCUUUAUCUUUGUUUUAUUUUAAAUCAUUGGGUUUAGACAUUACUUCGGUGCUUUUUAAUCCUUUCAAAAUGGCAGCAACAUACCCUUUUUGCGAUUUUUAUGAAAGAAUCCUACAAGAUGAUGGAUUCCCUCGUGAAACACUUUGGAUCGAAAAAGUUUGAUCAAUUCCAAUAAAUUUUUUAAUUUGAAACUUGCUCGAAUUGGAUUCUUUCGAUUUCCAUACCUAAGAUAUAUUAGAUAUAUUUACGAAGUUGUUUCAAUUGUUUUAUUGAUUGGCAUUAACCCUAGACCCUUGCCCCGAGAAAGAAAUUAAUACUUUCUACUCGAGCUCCAUCAUGGACUAUUUACAUUCCAAGACAACAAAAAACGAGGGGUUCUAGUGAAACAGAACCAAUGAUGUCGAGUUAAGAGCACCUUCAUUCCUACAAAAAAUGGUGGAUGUACAAAUCCACAACGGAUCGUGUCCUUCAAGUCGCACGUUGCUUUCUACCACAUCGUUUCAAACGAAGUUUUACCAUAACAUUCCUCUAAGAACCGGUAUGGAAUUGAUUCAAUUAUGGAAUCAUGAAUAGUCAUUGGUUGGGCUGAUGUAUAAACACCAUAAUCUAAAGUAUUUUCUAUAUCUUCUAUAUCUAUAGUAUAUAGAUAUAAAUAAUACUAUAGAUUAAUACUAUAGAUAUAGGGUGGAUAAAUAUUUUUCUGAAGAAGUCUUAGUAAGACCCCAUCGCUAAUAUUAAAUUGUCUAACAUUAUAAUAUUAAUUAAUAAAUAUAUAUAAUAAAAAAUUUUUUUAUAUAAAUAAAAUAAGACGAAUAAACGAAUUCUUUUUAAUUCUGCAUCUUCACGUGACUUAAUAGGAGAGAAAGAUUCAGCUUCUAAGGAAUGAUUUAAACUAUUUCUCUUUCGAAAUUUCGAAUCAAUUUCGAAAGUUCCCCUCUCGACAUCAUUAUUCCAAGAAAAUUUGAUAGUUAAAAAUAACUUUUGAUCAUCUUAGGAAAAAAGAUAAGUCUUUUUUUUUUUUUUUUCAUCUGAUUAAUAAAAUCCAAAGAAUGGGGAGGGUUUCGUAUCUAUCAAUUCGAUCAAAUAGACUGAGCAAUUGUCACCGUUUAUAGAUAUUGAAAUGAACGCCUUCCCAUCACUGAUUAACUCCUAUCUACCCCAUUCUCUGGGACUGAUGCAGCAUAAAUCAAAAGAAGGGGAUGUCCUAGUCUUUUUUUUACGAAAUGCGAGCUGGCUGGGCACAAAGCCAAACAAGCCCAGAUUAAGUCCAGUUUUUGCUCCUUUUUUCUAUUUUAGCCUACCUCAUUGAUUAAGAAUUAAGAGACUUAGUGAAUUGAAUUAGUACCAAAAACCCCUUCUUGGCGAAAAGUCAAGAAAUCCACAAAAAAGCAAAUUGAAUCUAAUUAGGCUAAUUUAGGGGGUAGAGAAUAUGAGAUAGGGAAUAUGGAUUCUUUCGUAUCUCGAUUCAGUUUUUGAAAAAAAAAAAAACGAUUCAUCGAAGAAAAAAAUCAGAAACAACAAUCACAUUCCAGCUAACAUUUCGAUUUUAAACAGAACAUUGUUAAAAAAGCAAUCUAUAUUGUCAGAGAAUAUAUAUGUUCUGGGACGGAAGGAUUCGAACCUCCGAAUAGCGGGACCAAAACCCGUUGCCUUACCACUUGGCCACGCCCCAUUUAGAUUUCUAUGCGAUACUAAUAAAGUAUAUUGCUGGUUUUGUUUGUUUGUCAACUCUAGCCCAAAUAUCUAUAGAAUCGAUUAGAUUGGUAUUCGGAUUUUUCUAUGUUUUUGGUAUGUGUAGAUAUAGAAUUCAACUUAAUUUAUUGAUCAUUACAUAUAAUUCAAUUAAGAUAUUGUAUGAAAAUAUUAUUUUUUCGAUUCUCCUUUUCUCAAAGGAGGAUUUUUGAUUGGGUGGGUUCAAAGAAAAAGAAGGAUUUUUUGUUUACCUUACUUACUUUCCUUUUCCUUAUAACUUACUUUCCUUUUCCUUAUAUAAAUAACUCAAUCAAAAUGCAAUUAUCUCCAAGAACAAAAAGUCUGUUAUGCUUAAUACCUUUAGUUUGAUCGGUAUCUGUCUUAAUUCGACCCUUUAUUCGAGUAGUUUUUUCUUCGGCAAAUUGCCCGAGGCCUAUGCUUUUUUGAAUCCAAUCGUAGAUAUUAUGCCAGUCAUACCUCUGUUCUUUUUUCUCUUAGCCUUUGUUUGGCAAGCUGCUGUAAGUUUUCGAUGAGAUCCUUAAUAAUAUCCUAGAAAAUUCAUGAUUUAUUCGAGAAAAAAUUCGAAAAUCAAUAAAAUCAGAUAAGCUUUACCGUUUGAAAUCUCGAUUCAAACAUUGAAAUUCUUGGAUAGUCACGAGAAAUCCGGCUUAACUUAAUUUCCUUCUUUUUUGGCGCUUUCCU
rnacentral:lncRNA from 1 species